GAGUUAUCAGUGUUUAUCUUCUGGAGAACAGGAGUAACUAUAAAGACAGUCAGUUUAUGAAUUGAUCCACAUUUCAUCCAUGGUGUGGCUAAAAACUUCAUAAAAGCAGAUUAUCAAUCAUUUUUUGGAUGAAUCAGACAAAGUGGAAGGUUUCUUAGAGACGUAUAAAACUUCCAUCAUAUAAGACUAAAUUUAUAUGACUUUACUCAAGGUGCAAACAUCUAAUGCUGAAGUAUUAAACAGUGUGAAGCAGCAUGUGUACGUCACUGCAGAGCAUCUCUUCUCUGCCUCCAUACCUGAGCUUUCUACCACAGUGAGUGUGUCGUGUUUUGUGUGCAUGCUGCUGGCUGUGUGUGUGGUGCCAACACUUCCUCCUGCUCCCGGCUGUGUUCUGUGUGUUGCGGCCUGAUUAGAAAACGGCCUAUUUUUCUCUCUCAGAGAGCGAAACUGCUGAAAAUUGUAUUGUCAUCUGCCGCCGAGUCUCUGUGCGAUGAGCUGAAGGGGACAGGACUGUGACUACGUUCAAAUAUUUUUUAUCCUAGUCAUCACACAGCCUGUGUGUUUCAUCCAUACGGUUCUAUAAACAUGAAUGAAAACCUGGCAUCAGAUUCAUGAAACCGCAGUUCAACACAUGUAUUUUCAGCAGAGCAUCUUAAUGCACGUUUUUGUAUUUUUUCUUAGAUUUGCCUGCCAGGCGCGUAACAACGUGGCCGUGCAGUGUUCCUGUGGAGAGGUGUGUUUACGUGUGUGUCAGGACAUCCGGCCGGGGACUGAGCUGCUGUUGUACGAAGACACCGCGGGGACAACGGAUGGUCGUGACGCACAGGACGCUGGACACACAGAGACAGAAAACAAAGUGGAAGACAAAAAAGACCCAGAGACUGAAGUGCCCAACAUAUCGAUCGUUCAAGAGAAGGAAGGUGGGACAAAGGGGCGGACAGGAGGAAGAACUGCAGAGAAAACCACACAGAUGCAUCAAGAGGAGACACCCAACCACAAACAUGAGGAAGAGGAGAGCCAAGAAGAUAGACAGAACAUCCAGCAGUGAUAACACGACAGCAGGCGGACACACGGAGAGGCGUGUGCAGCCGAGGCGUCCAGAGAGGAUGUGGCUCUGACGUGGCGUCCGGAGAUCAGAGAGAGGCGGUACAGGUGUUCCAGCUGUGGUAAAAAGUUCUUCCAGAACCACUUAGAGAAACACCAGUUCAUUCACACCGAGGAGAAACCGCUCAGCUGCCAAGAGUGCGGGAAAAACUACACGUCUGCAGAAAGCUUCAGAGCCCAUCAAAUGAGUCACCGUGGCGAGCGUCCAUUCUCCUGUCCUCACUGUGAGAAGACGUACGGCCUGAAGCAGGACCUGAAGGAGCACAUGGUCCUGCACACCGGUGAAAAACCACCGCCUCCUUCACUGCAGCAGGAUGAUUUACACACAGCCUCCGAAGGUAGAGAGGCGUUCUGCUCCGCACUGGUAAUGAUUACCUGAAGUUUAGACUUUUGGUUUUACAGUAUUCCACUGAUCAACAGGCAACAGACAAUGUGCCAGCAAAAGUAGAUAAGAAGAAGCUGUUUCCAAGUACCCAAAACAUUUAGUCCCAGAGACGACUUUUCAAGGAAAUCCUGUUUUUGACAUAUGCAGUUUGUAUCCAGAUUGAUAUUUGUAUUUCUACAGAUGUGUCUUAGUCCCGAUGCUCUGGCAGCUUAUGUUGGAUUUCAAAGUGUCUUCUGAGUCACCUGAACCACGACACGGCGACAAAGUCCAACCUAGAGUGAUGGAAGAGCCUCAGAGUGGCUGAUUAUGGAGAUGCUGAAAUAAAUUGUCUGCUGACAUUUUGGGUGUACGGACAAAGCUGCAUCAUCAGCGUACAUAGUUACGUUAAGUUAAGUUGGUGGUCUCUGGACGCACAGAUCUGAUCUCUUGCAGAUCAGUCGGUCUUUAAGACACAAACUUAAUUUGCCUCCAGUCUGAACAAAGCCUGACAGGGUUCCUUCAGCCCAUUGUUGCCUGAAGACUCGCAAAGAUUACUCCACUGACGUAUGAAAGUGCGACAGCUCCGUCUGCUGUAUGCUUCCAUCUUGACGUGUUGAAGUACAAAGAACAAACAAAACAAACCGGUUUGUGGAUACAGAUUUUUCAAAGUGGUGCCUGAAACACAAUAAAUAUUUAAAUUCCUGUACUUUUGGAAAGCACUUCCCUCCGAGCAGGAACCUUUUAUAGGGUGUAAAAUAAUGUCAUCGGGGCCUUAAUUUAGAUCCUGGUCCCCGAGGUGGAAAUGCACCGACUUCCUCCAAUAGUUCCUCUCUAGGGAAAGUUCCUGUGGUGGAACCGCAGCUAUAGAGCUCACGGAUACAAAAGUAUUUUGAUGAGAGAGUGUAAAUAUGAAUUUUAUGUGUUCAAAAGAAAACUCCAUAGGACCCUUUUUAAAGUGCUUGUUCACCCGUGUGUGCUGACAUUUCCAGAUGACAGUGGGCAGCUUAAUUGGUUCAUUUUUCACUCGUGCGUUCAUGAAUUUCUCCUGAAAUGUGCAUUCACCAUGGAGGAGUGUUUUUCAAAUUGCUUCCCCCUUUUCCCUCAGCUAUCUCAGACAAACACAGUUUUAAAGGAGUCGUGUUUCGGUCUCCGCGCUGCUCAGUCCUAUUUAAAAAAUCUCUCACAUAACAUCUUUAAAUUUUCAUGCAGGUCUUGUUGUUUCUCCCCCGACAGCAUUUUGAACCUAAAGUAUUUAAAAAGAGGGUGGGAAAGGACGUGCUGCAUUUGAUUUUCUCUCACAGGUGCAGUGUACAGUCGGCCCCAAGCUGCUGGCUAACUGAGAAACCACAUGAAGCUCCACACGGGGGAAAAACCUCACGUCUGUCAGCACUGUGGGAAGUGCUGACAGACAGAAGAAAGGUAAUAUCAGAUUGUCUGAUCCCAGAGCCGCAACAAGCUAUUGAACAGUCACGUGUGCUCUGUGUCAAACUGCUGACAGGUUGAUCUCACCUCCUGACUUAAGGGAGUAAACAAAAGUAAUCGACUCACAAACCUUAACACAGAGCAGAAACGGGACAUAUGUCAGAGUUUAUUCUUUAAACUUUUGGGAUUUAAAGUAAAUAGAUUUUCACUCUUGGUGCAGACAUCUGUUCUUGUUGAAUGGUUUAGGCCCACAAUACAUAAAUGAAAUGUUAGUAGAAUAUAGACCCAGUAGGGCUCUGAGAUCUACGGACUCAGGUCAGAUAGUGGAGCACAGAG